rnacentral:rRNA from 1 species
CCUACGGGGGGCAGCAGUGGGGAAUAUUGGACAAUGGGCGAAAGCCUGAUCCAGCCAUGCCGCGUGUGUGAAGAAGGCCUUCGGGUUGUAAAGCACUUUCAGUGGGGAAGAAAGCCUUGGGGCUAAUACCCUCGAGGAAGGACAUCACCCACAGAAGAAGCACCGGCUAACUCCGUGACAGCAGCCGCGGUAAUACGGAGGGUGCGAGCGUUAAUCGGAAUUACUGGGCGUAAAGCGCGCGUAGGCGGUCUGAUAAGCCGGUUGGGAAAGCCCCGGGCUAAACCUGGGAACGGCAUCCGGAACUGUCAGGCUAGAGUGCAGGAGAGGAAGGGAGAAUUCCCGGUGUAGCAGUGAAAUGCGUAGAGAUCGGGAGGAAUACCAGUGGCGAAGGCGGCCUACUGGACUGACACUGACGCUGAGGUGCGAAAGCGUGGGUAGCAAACAGGAUUAGAUACCCCUGUAGUC